rnacentral:tRNA from 1 species
UCCCUGCUGGCUCGGACGGUAAACAACCUGCCUGCAAUGCGGGAGACCUGGGUUCGAUUCCCAGGUCGGGAA